rfam:Nicotiana attenuata strain TT chromosome 2, whole genome shotgun sequence.
UGGACAAAUUAUUGUAUUCGACUGUAUUCACGGUGUGAAACAGGGGAUUACACUGUUUUUAAACAGAAAGUAAAUCAAUUAACAUAACCGACUCCU